GUCACUUUGGCCGAGUGGUUAAGGCGUCAGAUUCGAAUUACAGUAGUAUCUGAUGGGGUUCCCCCGCGUAGGUUCAAAUCCUGCAGGUGACG
rnacentral:tRNA from 2 species